rnacentral:rRNA from 1 species
CCGUUGCCGGCGACCGGCGCACGGGUGAGUAACACGUAUGCAACCUGCCCGUGGCAGGGGGAUAAGCGGGGGAAACCCCGUCUAAUACCGCGUAACGCGGCCUAGGGACAUCCCAAGGCCGCCAAAGGGAGCAAUCCCGGCCACGGAUGGGCAUGCGGCGCAUUAGCUAGUCGGCGGGGUAACGGCCCACCGAGGCGACGAUGCGUAGGGGUUCUGAGAGGAAGGCCCCCCACACUGGUACUGAGACACGGACCAAACUCCUACGGAAGGCAGCAG